rnacentral:rRNA from 1 species
AACGAACGCUGGCGGCAGGCUUAACACAUGCAAGUCGAGCGCCCCGCAAGGGGAGCGGCAGACGGGUGAGUAACGCGUGGGAAUCUACCCAUCUCUACGGAAUAACGCAUGGAAACGUGUGCUUAUACCGUAUACGUCCUUCGGGAGAAAGAUUUAUCGGAGAUGGAUGAGCCCGCGUUGGAUUAGCUAGUUGGUGGGGUAAAGGCCUACCAAGGCGACGAUCCAUAGCUGGUCUGAGAGGAUGAUCAGCCACACGGGGACUGAGACACGGCCCAGAAUCCUACGGGAGGCAGCAGUGGGGAAUAUUGGACAAUGGGGCCAAGCCUGAUCCAGCCAUGCCGCGUGAGUGAUGAAGGCCCUAGGGUUGUAAAGCUCUUUCACCGGUGAAGAUAAUGACGGUAACCGGAGAAGAAGCACCGGCCAACUACGUGCCAGCAGCCGCCGUAAAAC